CAUGGGUUUAGCUCUUGUAUUUACGGUUGUUCGACGUUCGACGGUCCAUCUUAUUUUAAACAGAUUAUAUUAAUAUUUUAUUGUCAUUUGAUGAUAAAAGAUGAAUAUUGCUUCAUGUGUGACCAUUGAUUAAUUUUUCUAUAAAUCUUUUAAGUAAGAUGAACAUUCGAACGAUGGACACCGGAAUCUACAAAAUGCAAUUAAU
rnacentral:pre_miRNA from 1 species